rnacentral:lncRNA from 1 species
UCUUGUAUUAUAAAUUUCUCAUAGGCUUUGCCUUUGAGAAAUUGCAAAUACAAAAAAUUGCAACCUUCCAUUCUUCUUUUUGUUGCAUUCCUUGUUUCAAGUUUGAAUAUGUCUGAUGAAUUAGAUCAAGUUUUAGUCCCAUGUUUGGAACGUGAGUUUAGAGGAACAUGAGGCUUUUCUAUGCAUACUAUUAUCCAACAUGUUUCCUAAUAAUGAAAGGGAUGAUGAUGAUCAAUUCUUUGAUGAUGCUUACAUGGAAGAUGUGGUCAUAUUCGAUACUGAUGAUGAUAUUAUGGAGUUUCUUGAGGAUGCUCUUAUUGAUGACGAUCCACCAAAGAUGAUCAGGCCUGCCAGUAAAUCAGCCAUUGAAGGGUUGGAGAAGGUAAAGAUCGAUGAAAGAUCAUUAGUGUCGUGUUUGGUGUGCUUUGAAGAUGUUUCAAUCGGGACUGAAGCCAAACGCCUGCCCUGCUCCAAUGUUUAUCGUACAGGUUGCGUUGUUAAAUGGUUUAAAGAGAGAAUACAUGUCCAUUGUGCCGCUAUAAAAUGCCUGUUGUGGAUUUUGAUCUAAUUGUCCCAUUGCCUGCCAUUGAUUCUGAUGUGGACUCUGAGAACAUGACUGCUACUAAUUGAUUUCAAGUGUCAUUUAUAGUAUGUAUUUAUUAGGGUUAUGUUCUAUUUUCUUUUUGUUUCUUUUGAACAAUUUGUUUGUAAACUUAAGGGUACCCAAAUCAUAAUGAAAUUGUCAUUUGGAACCCAAACCCUAAACCCUAAUCACCCAAGUCCUUAUCUUACAUGAUUAUUAAAAAAUUUACUGCACUUUUCCUUCUAAUUCUGAUGUUUUUGUAUUUCUUAUAAUAUGUUAUUUCUAUACAUGACCAUGCUCUCUACAACUAUUGAUAUAAAUUCUUGUUGAUUAGUUUGUUUUGUUUUGCAGGGUUUUUCUAUUUCUUAUCAAUAUCUUUGAGACCAAGAUUGGUCCUAAAGAACACUGUUCAGUCAAUCAAUGUUUUGAUCAAAUCAAGUGGAUACUUUACAGAAACCAGGACGUUGAGUUAGUAUUCACGAGAGCAAACAAGAGAAGCUAGUGUUUCCAACAAAAUGAAUUGAUACACUGACUCAAACGAAACUAAAUCCAACUUUUAAUCGAAGGCAGUAAAACUUUUAAUCAUCUAAGACUGCAAUACUAAUAUGUCUAUUACACUUUUUGCAGAAUCAAAAUUUGUGUCCAUAUUGGAUGUUUUCUCUUUCAGUUCUAUGUACUGUUGUAACAGAGCUCCGAAUUUUUUGUAGCAUGACUCCUGAUAUAAAUACAGAAAACAUCUGAUCUUACUUACAUUUAACAAAAAACUUCUUGUUCAACAAAGAAAAACCAGAAUCUAUUUCAACUAGAAUUGGUGGGGUGCGCCUGACCCAUGCAGCAGUGCAACGCAUGGGCGACACUUGAAGACCCCAGUAGCAAGCUACCGUGAUGGACCUUCUCCCUCAAAAAACUAAUUUAAUAUCAUGUGGAUCAAUGACCCACGUAUCAGAUAUUAAACUGAUAAGAACAGAUACUACACUUGAUCUUAGCCAAAAGGCCGAGAAAGGUAUGCUUUGCAAUCGCUCUCAACUUCUCUUUCAUAACUUGUCUCGCCCAAACCCUAUUCAACUGUUCAUGAUGUGGGAUAGGGAACUCAGCCAAGUGCAGUAACAUGUAUCUUUCGAUGACCAGUGAAAGCUGAUUGCUAGUUACCUGAAUAUCAGAGCAAAAUCUGGCAACAAAAACACUCUAACAAUUACCAUUUCCUUGGAAGAUUAUUUAUUAAUAAUUUGCGUAUUUGAAAUGGUAUUUGACAUCUGCUUUGAGAAGGCACGGUUCAUAUAAUCUAUAGGUAUAACUUCAAUGUCUUGUUUUAUGCUGCGUUUAGCUGCAAAAUCAGUCAUCUAUUGAGUCUCCUUCAUCCUUUCAAUCAUGCUUAUCUUCGUUCCUGCCGUAAAGGGUAUAACUUGUUAAUUUCUCAGUCUUAAUACCAAAUUAUGUCCAAUACUGAAAAUAUACAGUCAACUUAACGCAUCUCUGCUUCGCAGAUGAUUUACUAAUAUUUGCAAAGGGUAAGUUGGAUUCUGUUAUUGGUGUGAAGGAGGUGCUGAAGGUGUUUUAACACCUUUUCUGGCCUGCAACUUAACUGUGAGAAAAGUGAGUUAUAUUCAACAGGAAUUAAUAGAUGGGAGCUCAGUCCAAUAUAGCAGGUUUCUGGUUUUAAAAUUGGAUUGCUUUCUGUUAGAUACUUGGGGGUACCUUUGGUUACCAGGAGGCUCACCGGAAAAGAUUGUGCGCCACUAAUGGACAAGAUCACAACCAGGAUUAAAAGUUGGGCAGCUAGGCAUUUGUCUUAUGGUGGAAGGUUGCAGCUAAUGCAGUCCGUGCUGUUUGGUAUGCAAAACUAUUGGUCUAGGCGAUUCAUUAUGCCAAAGCAUGUGCUUAAGAAGAGAAAUCAACUAUGCUCCAGUUUCUUCUGGAAAAGGAGAGAAGGGUCCGCAAGGGGAGCUAGAGUGAGCCGUUGUGCAAUUUGUUUCUCUAAAUCUGAGGGAGGACUUGGUCUCAAAGAUAUAGUAUCUUGGAACCAGGCUUGUCUCAUGAAGAAUAUGCAGGACAUUUUUAUUAAAGCUGGUCCAAUAUGGAUAGCAUGGCUAGAAGCUUACGUUUUGAAGGAGAGGAGCAUCUUGCAGGUUCCAGAACAACAAAACAGUAGCUGGAACUGGAGGAAGCUACUUCAGCUUAGAUAGAUUGCACGGCAUUUUAUAAACAUAGAGAAUGGAGUUGAGAUCUAGCUUUUUCUAAGCAACACCUACUCAGCUGCUAUAGUAUGAAAUACGAUUAGGCCGAAACAAGAGAAGGUUGAAUGGCAUAAACUCAUAUGGUUUCAAUACCAUAUUCCAAAGCACUCUAUAAUAUCUUGGAUGGCUAUAUUAUAUAGACUUUCAACGAAGGACAGGUUGAAAACGUGGGGAAUUGAGGUGUAUGACAAAUGUUGCCUGUGCCAGAGAGAGGACGAAACCAGGGAACAUUUGUUCUUUGGAUGUGAUUAUUCAAAAUAGAUUUGGCAAAAGAUAUUACGGAAGUGCAGGAUCUUUCGGGGGUGGAGAACUGGUCCGAAGAGUUGAGAUGGGCAGUGAGCAAAUUGAGGGGAAAGCCUCCAUCAUAUUGCGAUUAGCCUGGAAUUCCAGACAUCAGAUAUGGAAAGAGAGCAACAGCAGGAUGUUACAGGUCCUUGAACACAUAAAAGAUGCUGUGAGGCUUCGAUUACAGGGACUAAGUGAGAUACACAUAAAAGAUGUUGUGAGACUUCGAUUAUAGGGACCAAGUCAGAUUGCUGCGAAUACAGUAAAUAAGAUGAUGUGUGAUACGUGGAAUCUUAAUGUUGCUAUGAUAGAAUAGGUUGCAAUUAGAGAUGCGUAUAUCGAUGGUUUGUAAAAGACAGUUGGAUUGUUGUAUUGUAGUAGAAUUCUGCUAGCUUGAUAAAUAAAAUACAAAUUAUCCAAAAAAAUUCUAAAAAUAUACAAUAAUAAAAUGCAUUACGAACUUAAAAUAUCUAUGCAGACCUCACAUCACUCUUAAAUAACAUAUUAACAAUAGAUUUUUUAUUAUAUAUUUAUUGUAUUAUGUAUAAAUACAUAAAAUAAAAAACAUAAAAAUAAAUUUGUUUUUUUUUUCACAUGCAACUACAAAAAGAAAAUCAAUUUAUUUUAUUGCAUAACCCUUUUCUUUGACAUUUUUUUCUCAUUUUUUCACUUUUUUUUUUGUUCCAACCACAUAAGAGUGUCCAAAAUCUUGUAAUAUGGAAAUCCAUUCUUAGCUAGGAUGAAUAAUCCUUCAAAAUUAAGGAAACUUACAGCCGCCUCUUCUCUUAUAUUAUAAAUUGCUUGUAGGCUUUGCCUUUGAGAAAUUGCAAUUAUAAAGAAUUGCAACCUUCCAUUCUUCUUUUUAUUGCAUUCUUUGUUUUAAGUUUGAUUAUGUCUAAUGAAUUAGAUCAAGUUUUAGUCCCUUGUCGGAAUUUGAGUUUGAGGGAUAGGAAGCUUUUCUAUGCAUACCAUUAUCUAGCAUGUUUCCUAAUAAUGAAAGGGAUUAUGAUGAUCAGUUCUCUGAUGAUGAUUAUAUGAAAGAUGUGGUCAUAUUCGAUACUGAUAAUGAUAUUAUGGAGAUUCUUGAGGAUGCUCUUGUUGAUGAAGAUCCUCCAAAGAUGAUCAGGCCUGAUAGUAAAUCAGCCAUUGAAGGGUUGGAGAAGGUAAAGAUUAAUCAAAGAUCAUUAGUGUUAUAUUCGGUUUAGUUUGAAGAUGUUUCAAUUGGGAUUGAAGCCAAACGCCUGCCCUGCGCCCAUGUUUAUCAUACAGGUUGCAUUGUUAAAUGUCUUAAAGAGACGAAUACAUAUCCAUUGUGCCGCUAUGAAAUGCCUGUUGUCGGUUUUGAUCUAAAUAUCCCAUUGCCUGCUAUUGAUUCUGAUGUGGAUUAUAAAAACAUGACGACUACUAAUUGAUUUCAAUGUCGUUUGUAUUAUGUAUUUGUUAGGGUUAUGUUCUAUUUCUUUUUGUUUCUUUUGAACAAUUUGUUUGUAAUCUUAUGGGUACAUACAGAACAUAAAUGCAUUGAUACACUG